rnacentral:rRNA from 1 species
GAUGAACGCUGGCGGCGUGCCUAAUACAUGCAAGUCGAGCGAACAGACGAGGAGCUUGCUCCUCUGACGUUAGCGGCGGACGGGUGAGUAACACGUGGAUAACCUACCUAUAAGACUGGGAUAACUUCGGGAAACCGGAGCUAAUACCGGAUAAUAUAUUGAACCGCAUGGUUCAAUAGUGAAAGACGGUUUUGCUGUCACUUAUAGAUGGAUCCGCGCCGCAUUAGCUAGUUGGUAAGGUAACGGCUUACCAAGGCGACGAUGCGUAGCCGACCUGAGAGGGUGAUCGGCCACACGGAAACUGAGACACGGUCCAGACUCCUACGGGGGGCAGCAGUAGGGAAUCUGCCGAAAGGGGCGAAAGCCUGACGGAGCAACGCCGCGUGAGGAAUGAAGGUCUUCGGAUCGUAAAACUCUGUUAUUAGGAAAAAACAAAUGUGUAAGUAACUAUGCACGUCUUGACGGUACCAAAUCAGAAAGCCACGGCUAACUACG